ensembl:ncRNA R09E10.14 ncRNA
UCAGUGGUUCUAAUAACUGAUUUUUGCUAGUGAUUUUAAAAGAGAAAUAUAAAAUUAUAUGGUGUGAUUUUGUGUUCAAUUUAAACUUACAGGAGCAUAAUGCUUUACUUCAUCAUACUGUAAUUAGUCUAGGCUAUUGAUAAU